GUCCCGUCGCGGACAUCCGACAAAAUUGGAACGAUACAGAGAAGGUUAACAUGACCCCUGCGCAAGGAUAACACAAAAAAAUAAUAAAAAUGUAUAUCUUAA